GACCUGAUAGCUCAGCUGGUAGAGCAUUACACUUUUAAUGUAAGGGUCCUGGGUUCGAAUCCCAGUCAGGUCAUUAUUACAUUCAUCACAUCAUUUA
rnacentral:tRNA from 1 species